rnacentral:rRNA from 1 species
UACGUAGGUGACCAGCGUUGUCCGGAAUUAUUGGGCGUAAAGAGCUCGUAGGCGGCCGGUUGCGUCUGCUGUGAAAUCCCGGGGCUUAACCCCGGGCGUGCAGUGGAUACGGGCCGGCUGGAGGCAGGCAGGGGAGAAUGGAAUUCCCGGUGUAGCGGUGAAAUGCGCAGAUAUCGGGAGGAACACCGGUGGCGAAGGCGGUUCUCUGGGCCUGUACUGACGCUGAGGAGCGAAAGCGUGGGGAGCGAACAGG